UGGGGCUCUUAAAUCCAUCUACCUUUGUCUCCCAGGCCAUGUUCUGGCUUAGGUGGUUAGUCCUUCUGUGACCGAGAGCUGUGGUCCUUGUUAUAAUGUCUUGGUCACUUUGUCUGGGCUGGCUGUGACUUUCAGCUCUGGAGUCUGGCCUAGGAAGACAGUCCAGUAACCUGCAUGGAUGGAGGGAUUGAGAAAUCUCUGGCCCAGACACCCACUGGAUUCCUGUGCUGGGAACUGACGUCUGCAGCUGACGGGCCCCCUCCUGCCCCUCCUCCUGCUACUGGCAGCCUGGGAACUCCCCAAGAGGUCCUGCUUUGUCUCUGCUCCCCUUCCCUGGCCCUAUUCCUAGGCCGAGGUCCCACCUUCAUGGGUGCCAGUGAGCAGCCGGAAGUUCUGGACCUCUUUCUGGAAAUCUUGCUUUCUGACUCUCUUGAUCUGCACCAAGUGGAAGACUCCUGCGGAAAGACACAGUGUGAGCUAUGAAGGUAGGCUGGGGUGACACUCGCAACUCACCCCGUCAUCUCCCUCUGU